rnacentral:rRNA from 1 species
UGGGGAAUCUUCCGCAAUGGGACGAAAGUCUGACGGAGCAACGCCGCGUGAGUGAUGAAGGCCUUCGGUUGUAAACUCUGUUGUCAGGGACGAAAGCACCGAUCUAUAAUACAUUUGGUGUUGGCGGUACCUGACGAGGAAGCCACGGCUAACUACGUGCCAGCAGCCGCGGUAAUACGUAGGUGGCAAGCGUUGUCCGGAAUUAUUGGGCGUAAAGAGCAUGUAGGCGGGCUUUUAAGUCCGACGUGAAAAUGCGGGGCUUAACCCCGUAUGGCGUUGGAUACUGGAAGUCUUGAGUGCAGGAGAGGAAAGGGGAAUUCCCAGUGUA